rnacentral:rRNA from 1 species
UUGAACGCUGGCGGAAUGCUUUACACAUGCAAGUCGAGCGGCAGCGCGGGGGCAACCCUGGCGGCGAGCGGCGAACGGGUGAGUAAUACAUCGGAACGUACCCAGUUGUGGGGGAUAGCCCGGCGAAAGCCGGAUUAAUACCGCAUAAGUCCUGAGGGAGAAAGCGGGGGACCGCAAGGCCUCGCGCGAUUGGAGCGGCCGAUGUCAGAUUAGCUAGUUGGUGGGGUAAAGGCCUACCAAGGCGACGAUCUGUAGCUGGUCUGAGAGGACGACCAGCCACACUGGGACUGAGACACGGCCCAGACUCCUACGGGAGGCAGCAGUGGGGAAUUUUGGACAAUGGGGGCAAGCCUGAUCCAGCCAUUCCGCGUGAGUGAAGAAGGCCUUCGGGUUGUAAAGCUCUUUCAGACGGAAAGAAAACGCAUCGGUGAAUACCCGGUGUGGAUGACGGUACCGUAAGAAGAAGCAACGGCUAACUACGU